CGAUGGAGGCGGGGAUGUUAGCCCAUUCGGAUGGUGUCGUGGGAGUGGAAGCACAUGCUGGUCUGGCAGAACGGCACUUCAACUUUCAAGUUACGGUCGACGCGGGAUGAAAGAACGGAAGUUAGCAGUAAUAUGGAGGCAUGAAAUGAAGAGCAGUCGAAGAAGUGAGCGUCGCUGUAACCAACGCCUGCAAACAUCGUCAGUCGAAUUGUGUUUCUAUUGAGUUCUUUAGUGCGGCUGUUCGGGUGCCACACGCUACAGCAUUUGCUGACGACAAGCAUGAGAUCGCGGAGGCUUCCCACUUGCUUCUUCUGUUGUUGAUGAAGAAGAUUACUGCCUGGACGGCGCUGCAAUCGCAAAGUUGGGAAAAAUUGAUGGUUUUGAUGAGACGAGCAAGAGCUUCCAGUCCUACUUCGAAAGAUUUGAGAUUCACGUGUUGGCAAAUGAUGUGGCUGAAGGCAAGAAGCUAACUGUAUUCCUCACUUUAGUAGGACCAAGAAUGGAUGGAGUAUUGAAAAACCUGCUAAUACCACACCCUCCAGCCGUCAGAACGCAUGACGAGGUCACGGCUCUGCUGAAACACCACUACAGUCACCGAAUGGCCGGGAUCUCAGUAAGGUGCCGAUUUAACAGAAGAGUGCAACUUGGGCAAGAGACAGUAGCCAAAUUUAUUAUUCAGCUGAAGAACUCGGCAUGAAGUUGCGAG